GACGUAGGGUGCAAGCGUUAUCCGGAUUUACUGGGCGUAAAGAGCGCGUAGGCGGAUCGUUAAGUGUAGAGUGAAAUCUCCAGGGCUCAACCCGGAAACUGCUCUGCAUACUGGCGAUCUUGAGGGGCACAGAGGCAACUGGAAUUCCUGGUGAAGCGGUGAAAUGCGUAGAUAUCAGGAGGAACUCCCAUGGCGAAGGCAGGUUGCUGGGUGCCAUCUGACGCUGAGGCGCGAAAGCGUGGGUAGCAAACAGG
rnacentral:rRNA from 1 species